GAUGAACGCUGGCGGCGUGCCUAAUACAUGCAAGUCGAGCGAAUGGAUUAAGAGCUUGCUCUUAUGAAGUUAGCGGCGGACGGGUGAGUAACACGUGGGUAACCUGCCCAUAAGUCUGGGAUAACUCCGGGAAACCGGGGCUAAUACCGGAUAACAUUUUGAACCGCAUGGUUCGAAAUUGAAAGGCGGCUUCGGCUGUCACUUAUGGAUGGACCCGCGUCGCAUUAGCUAGUUGGUGAGGUAACGGCUCACCAAGGCAACGAUGCGUAGCCGACCUGAGAGGGUGAUCGGCCACACUGGGACUGGGACACGGCCCAGACUCCUACGGGAGGCAGCAGUAGGGAAUCUUCCGGAAUGGACGAAAGUCUGACGGAGCAACGCCGCGUGAGUGAUGGAGGCUUUCGGGUCGUAAAACUCUGUUGUUAGGGGAGAACAAGUGCUAGUUGAAUAAGCUGGCACCUUGACGGUACCUAACCAGAAAGCCACGGCUAACUACGUGCCAGCCGCCGCAGUAA
rnacentral:rRNA from 1 species